UACGAAGGGUGCAAGCGUUAAUCGGAUUUAUUGGGCGUAAAGGGCGUGUAGGCGGAAAAGAUAGUCAGAUGUGAAAUCCCAGAGCUUAACUCUGGAACUGCAUCUGAAACUCCUUUUCUGGAGGGUAGACGGAGAAAGUGGAAUUCCACGUGUAGCGGUAAAAUGCGUAGAUAUGUGGAAGAAUACCGGUGGCGAAGGCGACUUUCUAGUUUAUUCCUGACGCUGAGGCGCGAAAGCAAGGGGAGCAAACAGG
rnacentral:rRNA from 1 species